rnacentral:rRNA from 1 species
CCUACGGGAGGCAGCAGUCGAGAAUCAUUCACAAUGGGGGAAUCCCUGAUGGUGCGACGCCGCGUGGGGGAAUGAAGGUCUUCGGAUUGUAAACCCCUGUCAUGUGGGAGCAAAUUAAAAAGAUCGUACCACAAGAGGCAGAGACGGCUAACUCUGUGCCAGCAGCCGCGGUAAUACAGAGGUCUCAAGCGUUGUUCGGAAUCACUGGGCGUAAAGCGUGCGUAGGCUGUUUCGUAAGUCGUGUGUGAAAGGCGCGGGCUCAACCCGCGGACGGCACAUGAUACUGCGAGACUAGAGUAAUGGAGGGGGAAGCGGAAUUCGUGGUGUAGCAGUGAAAUGCGUAGAUAUCGAGAGGAACACUCGUGGCGAAGGCGGGUUGCUGGACAUUAACUGACGCUGAGGCACGAAGGCCAGGGGAGCGAAAGGGAUUAGAUACCCUAGUAGUC